rnacentral:lncRNA from 10 species
CGGGAGCCCUGAAGACGCGGUGGCGGGGCGGCGGGGAGCAGGGCGGGAGUGCCCUGGACUCCGCGGAUUCCUUUGGGGCUGGAGGGCCGCACACGUGUUUUACUCCAACUGUUUGCAACUUUUGAAACCCGGGCAAUCUGGCUUUGGCAUUUGAAAACCAUUUCAAACAGGAGAGAUUCCAAGAAAUGAGGGGGGUACGUUGAAACGAUGAAGAAAGGAUGGACACAGCAGUCGAGGUUGAGAGGUAGGCUCAGGGGUCCACCCUUGUGUGACCUUGAGCAAGCUUGGUGACCUCCGCGCCUCCGUUUCUCGCUGAUCAAAUAAGUAGAACAAGACCUCACAGGGUUCUUGGAAGUAUUACGUGGGAAAACACUUAUAAAGUGGCAAAUAAUAAAAACUCAUUAUAUUCUUAAUAGUAGUAUUACUAUUUGGGAAGAAAAUUGGGAAAUCAUUUGGGGAUUCAAGUUAGUAAGUAUGAUAAUUUAUCCUCUCCUUUCUAGAACUUAGAAAAUAUGGGCAUACUUUGUGUGUUUGUUUUUUGAUGGUGGUGGUGGUGUUUUUAGAAACGUGGUCUUGCUUUGUCCCCAAGCUGGAGUGCAGUAGCUCGACUAGCUGAUUGUAACCUCGAACUUCUGGACUCAAGCAAUCCUACCACCUCAGCCUCCUGAGUAUCUGGAAUUAUAGGCACAUGCCACCAUGCCCAGCUAGUUUUAUUUUUUUGAUUUUUUGUAGACAUGGGGGGGUCUCCCUAUGUUGAUUGCCCAGGCUGGUCUCAAACUCCUGGGCUCAAGCCAACCUCCUGACUCAGCUUCCCAAAGUGCUGGGGUUAUAGAUGUGAGCCACCAUACCUGGUUUAGGCAUACGUUUAAACAUCCUUUUAAAGCAUUGUAGGGUGCUAUUCUAAGCUAAUAAAAGUAAGGAGGGAUGUUGAUGCUUCUCUCUUGGGAUAUCCAGAACUGAAAAUCCCAUUGCAUUGUUGUGUUUCUGAAAAAAGGAGGUGACCAAUUUUCCAUGGCUUUGCUUGGUGAGAGGAACUUUGUCUCCAGCUUUUUUUCAGAAGCAAUCUAGGUCAAUAUGAACAGCACUUCAAAACAUAAAUUAUCAAACCCGAGCACAGAUCCAGCCAAUCAGAAUGUCAAGGAAGG